AAGGACAGACGAGCAUGUUGAUGGCUUGGUUUUCAUAUUCAUUUGGCUAGGUUUUGAAAGCCAUUGGAGUAGACCCCAUCAAGGGGUUUAUAGAUUUUCAGGUGGUGGAAAAUGCAAAAAUCUUGGCAAAAACGGUGGCAGCCAUGAUAUGAUUGGAUAUGAGUGAAUAUAUGGAGAGACAAAGAAAGUAGUUGGCAAGAUUAAAGUGGAAGGUU